rnacentral:lncRNA from 1 species
AAAGUUCAAAGAAGGGUAGGGGAGAGGAAAAAAAAUUUACUUUAAUAAGCAACUUCAACAGCUUCCUCCAGAAACAGCAUUAUGUUAUGCCCUUUUGGCAAAAUCACCAGCAUCAUCAUCUUCCUUGGAGUUUUUGUCCAAUGCAUCAUCUAGGUUAAAACCAUCACCACUGCUCUCAUUGGCACCAAACUGAUUGCCGCCACCAUAACCCAAUCCAGCAUUUCCAUCAUACCCACCAUCAACACUGGUGUUGGUAUAGCCAUCGCUGCUGCCAGCGCCAGCAGCAACACCAUAAUUCCCAGCACCACCGUCAUUAGUGUUUUGACCAGCAUAAUUAGUUUUGUCAUCACCAUAGCUAACAUUUGUCCCACCAUAGUUACCACCAUCAUUAGAGCCAUAUCCUCCACCGCCGCCAUAUCCUCCGCCACCGCUGUAUCCUCCGCCACCGUAUCCUCCACCGCCGCUGUAUCCCCCACCGCCGCCGUAUCCUCCACCGCCAUAGUUGCCAUAAUUAUUGUUAAAGGUACGCUGAGGCCUUUCAGUUGCAUAAUUCACCCUAACGCGGCGACCAUGAAGAUCCUGUGAGAAGCAAAAUUCAAAACAAAAUGAUAUGAACACUACGAUGAGGGGGAUAGGUGAUACAAGUGAAGAAUGUAAGCUCUCUCAACUAAGUUAAAUGACAGGGUGAGACGCAUUGAGAAUUUGAUGAUCAGAGAAAAAUUACAAUGGAAGAGAUUCUGCACUUCUCUCAGUUGAAAAUUAAUUUAGAGGAAAUGCUAAAAUAGUUCUGCACUUCUCAUCUCCACUUCCAGCCACAGAAAAAAGAAAAACAAUAAAGUAGCAAAUUACCUGUCCAUCCAUGGCCUGGAUGGCACUAGAGGCCUCCUCACUGGAGGUGUAAGUAAUGAAUCCAAAUCCUCUGGAUCUGCCAGUUUCACGAUCCAUAAUGAUUCUUGCUGCAACAAAAAUAAAACAAAUCAGCAAUUAACCUAAACUGAAAUUUGAAAUGCCAGCACAAAUGUUAGGAAGGAAACCAAGGAAAUAAACACACUAGCACAAACUGCACAGACACUGGUACACACACCCACAGGCAGACACCACAUAAAUUUUUCCUCUAAAACUGGGAAAAGUAACUUGGCAAGCCAAAUUACAUACCUUCAACAACAUUGCCAUAUUUAUCAAAGGCCUCUUUCAGACCGUUGUCAUCUGUCUGGAAAGAAAUACCUGCAAUGAGAUGUGAUAGGUUUCAGCACCAGCCAUUACACAGCAGGUCACCAAAACAAGAAGUGAAAAAAAUAAUAAAAGAAAAGAAGCACCUCCAAUGAAAAUUUUUGAGGAUGACAUGCAUCUUAAUGCUUGAUAGAUGGAUGGUCUUGAUGCAGAGAUCUCAGAACUGAUCUGCCUGUUAGCAGUCUGCCGUAACAUAUUUCCCACUUUAGUAAGAAACGCCAUCGUACAACCUAAGUGAAACAAAACCUUAGUCAGGAACCAAAAUAAACUAACCCCGUGGAAUAAUGAGCGAGGAGCUUUACACAUGUUGUGAAUGAUUGAUUGCCCAGCAAGAAGCGACAAGGCAAAAUCAGCCAGAGAUUUUUUUAAAUAAAAAAAAAUCAGUAAAAAAUCAGUUGCUUCAGAAGUACUUAAUUAGAACCAGAAAACCAGGGUCCAGUAACAACAAUACGAACAAAACAAUUUCAGUCUCGGUCUCUCCUUCAAUCCUGAUUAAGACCGCGGAUAAAAGGAAAAGACGAAGAAGAUAAAACUCAUAAAGUUACAAUCUUUUCUUUUCUUUUCUUUUCUCAUUAACACUUAACACAAAUCAAAUCAAAAGACGAGGUUAACAGCAUAUUUCAGUCUCAAUCAAUCAGAAACAAGUCCGAUCACAGUAAUAGAACAAAUAACUAGGGAUUACCUUCUUAUGUUUGGCUUCACUCCCUCUGGUUUUUGAAGGAUUCGACUAAAACCCUAUAUUGAGAAGUGGGGUUUAUGUAGGUCAAUGGUGGAGGGUUGUAUUAAGCGAGAGAAGAGAUCUUCACCGUUGGAUUAGAAGCGUGACGGUGCGGCUCCGGAUUCAGGCUUUCCACGUGUUCCUCUACGAGUGGGUUGUAUUUUCUUAUAUGUGACAGGCCACUUAGCUUUGACUGAAGAUUUCUAUUUUUCAGGGUCGGAGAUGCCAAAUAUCCUCACUGUGUUAAUCGAUUAUCCUGCCCUCUAAGUUAAAAUUGCUGUUGGCUGACGGUGUUGAAGAACUUGCUAAUAAUUAUUUUUUAUAAUAAUUUUAAUUUAAAAAUAUAUUAAAAUAAUAUUUAUUUUAAUUUUUUUAAAUUUAUUUUUAACAUCAACAUAUUAAAACAAUUUAAAAAUACUAAAAAAUUAUUUAAAAAAAAUUAAUUUUAUUACAAAACAUGUUAAAACUCAUUUCCAUGCACCCUAAUGGAACUUAUAAUCUUGUAUUUAUCCAAGUAAUAAUUAAUUAAAAAACUAAAACAUGUGGACUAAAUAUUGUUAAGCCAACAUUGUUUGCACGCUUACAAAAUAUUGUGGAUAUACUUUGUGUUUUUUAAUAAUUUAUUUUGAUUCUUAAAAUUUUAUUUUAGGUUUAGUCCUAACUGAAGACCAAUUAUUUUUUAUUUUUUAGGCAAUAGUAUAAUUAAAAUGAGAGGGAUUGUAAUGAAAAAAGCAUGGAUAAUGUGUUAGAAAUUAUUUUAAAAAUAUACUUAAAUCCUCAACUUUAAAAACAACACAAAUUGAACAAUUUAGGUCAUUUUAGAAUUCAAGAAAAUAAGUUUUGGUACAAAUAUUUAUUUAUAGUAUUUUUUAGUUUGAUUAGAAAGAGAAGAGGGGUUACAGGAUUUCACCAAUAAGAGAGAAGUUUGUUAUUUAAGCCAUUUUUUACUACUAAAAUAUAAUUUUUUUUAUCCAUAGGUUCUAUGAGAUGAAAGGGGCUUGAUGGUGAUUGUUUAGAACCUCAAUGUUUUCUAAAACAAAGGUAUAAGCCAAGAAAGAUAAAUCUAACAUAGUUUGAUUUCAUAUUUUUGGAUUAUUUUUUGGGUAUUUUGAGUUGAAGUAUUAGUUUAUGGAUGUUCCAAGGUGUUGGAGAUGUGUUUUUUUAUUGAAAUGACUUAAAAUUGGAUUUUUUUGACAAAAAAAAAAACUGCUUUAAUUUGAGCUCGCAAACAACAUGUCAUCUAUUUUGGCAAGUAACGUGUUACCUGUGUAUUUUUAUUUCUAGUGGUUUAAAAAAUAAUUCUUUGACUAAAGUUGAUCAUCCUCGUUGAUAAUAUUUUUGGUUUUAAAAAAACCUUUUUUCUCUGAUUAGAUUUUCCUAUCUCACUUACUUCUCUUUUUUUAUUUUUUUAUUUUUUUAUUUAUGUACUACUUUUUAUCUAUAUUUUUCUCAAUAUUAAGUUCCUUAAAGCAUCUCCAAUGGAAAAUGUUAUAUUGAAGAGCCAAAUGGAGAAAAUGGUUUUUUUGAAUAGUGUAAAUAUAUCUUUUUUUAUUAUGUGCAUUCCAAUGGUAAAAAGCUAUUUAAAAAAGCCAAUUAUAUUUUAAUAUAUUUCAUGUUAAAUUAAUUUUAAUAUAAUUAUAUAACUAAUUUAGAUAUUUUAUAUAUAAUAUAAUUAUGAUGUUAUUAAUUAUAUAAUUAAUAUGAGUAAUUUAUAAAAGUAAUAUAAAAUUAAUGAAGUAAUAUGAAAGUUAAAAGAUAUAAUUUAAAAUUUAUUUAUAUGAAUAUUUUUAAUUUUAAGUUUUAUAUGUUAUUGUUAAAAAUUUAAUUUUUUAAAAGUAAAUUCAAAUUCAAACUUUGAAAAAAUGACCGCCAACAUUUUAAAUUUUAAAUUUUAAAUUUUCAAAUUUUAAAAAAAUUACCGCCAACAUUUUAAGAUUUUACAAUUUGAAAAAAUAAUUCAUCUAUAAAUAUUCUCAUAUACCUUAACAUUUUUUCUCGUCAUUUUCUUCUCUCCAAUCUUUGUUAUAUUUCAUUAAAAUUCAUCAUGAAUCAUUCUAAUUUUAAUUUUUAUGAUGCUUUUGAUUUUGAUGAUGACAAUCUUGUGUUUGCUGAAGAAGAAUCGAAUAAUCAAGGGCGGAGAACAGGGUAUCAUGGCUCUAUUCCCGGUCACAAUAUUGUCAAUCGUAAUAGAAAGGAAGGUGAGUUAAAGUUGUAUAAUGAUUAUUUUGCAGAAAAUCCUAAAUUCACUGAAAGUCCAUUUCGAAGAAGAUUUAGGAUGAGUCGUCGUCUUUUUCUUCGGAUCGCAAAUGCAGUGGAAGCUCAUAAUCCAUAUUUCAAACAAAUGACAGAUGUUCUUAGUUUAUCUUGCCUUCAAAAGAUAACUGCGUCUCACAGAAUACUUGCAUAUGGUAUUCCUACAGAUCUUACUGAUGAAUAUCUUCGAAUUGGAGAAACCACUAUGAUAGAAAGUCUUAGAGCUUUCGUCAAAGCAAUCAUAAAAGUUUUUUGGUAAUUGGUAUCUAAGGGCACCAAACGAGGCCGAUAUUUGUCGAUUAUUAUCAAUUGGAGAGCAGCGUGGAUUUUCAGGGAUGUUAGAGAGCAUUGACUGUAUGCAUUGGAAAUAGGGGAAAUGCCCAAUUGCAUGGCAUGGGAUGUAUGGUGGUCAUUGUCGUGAACCAACUAUAAUUCUAGAAGCGGUGGCUUCACAAGAUCUUUGGAUAUGACAUGCCUUUUUUGGAAUGCCUGGAUCAUUAAAUGAUAUUAAUAUUCUUGAUCGGUCAUUUAUCUUUAUUGCACUUGCUGAAGGUUGUACUGCUCCUGUUAAUUAUACAAUUAAUGGGCAUGAAUAUACAAUGGGAUACUAUUUAGCAGAUGGGAUUUAUCCUAAUUGGUCAACCUUUGUUAAGACAAUUCCAAGACCAUUAGGAGCAAAGAGAAAAUAUUUUGCAAGCAAGCAAGAGUCUGCAAGAAAAGAUGUGGAGCGGGCAUUUGGGGUGCUCCAAUCUCGUUUUGCAAUUAUACGUGGACCUGUUCGAUACUGGGAUGAAGAAACGUUGCAUAUAUUAUGAAAGCUUGCAUAAUAAUGCAUAAUAUGAUUAUUGAGGAUGAAGGAGAAUACCUUGGAUUUGACCAUGAACAUGAAGUCAAUUCCUUUAUAUCAGUGUCACAUGGUGAAAUACCAAACUAUGAUUUUCUUCAAACUCAUAAUCGAAUUAGGGAUAGAGCAACUAGCUCUCAACUACAAGAAGAUUUGAUUGAAUAUUUUGGGAACAAUAUGGCAACGAGUAGAAUCUUUAGAUUUGAACUUCUUAUGUUAUCAUAAUUUUCAAGUUUUUUAUGUUUUUUUUUCAUUAUGUUGUUAUCUUUUAAGUUAAUUAAUCCUACUUAUUAUUGUUAAGUGUUAGGAACUUCAAAAAAGUAUUAUGAAUUGAUAUCAAUUUCAUAACAAUAUAUUUAAAAUAACCAAGAAUUUUCUACAUAUUUAAUUAAAAAUACAUUACAUUACAAUAAAUCAAUCAAAGUUAAUUAAAAAUUAAAACCCCUCUUUUGCAUAAUUUCUAACUUUCUAUUUUGAAAAUACAGAAAUUGGAUCCAAAUUAGAAAUAUCAUUUUCAUAAUUUGUUCUUCUUUCUCAAUCCUGUCCAAUUCUUGUUUCUCUUGACUUUGUUGAAUCAUCAUGGCUUGUUGCUCUAACAUAAUUUUCUGUCUUGUUUCUUCUGAUCCUCAAUUUCAACUAGAGUAUCCUGAAUUGUUGUAAGAGAUUGUUACAGUUACCUCCCCAACUUUAUUUUCCUUGUCUAUUUAAGUCGUUCCUUUGCAGCCUUCUGACCGAUUGGUCUAUCUUGAUAAAUCAAUGGUUCACUAUCUUCUCCUAAACUAACAAAUCAGGGUAGAUGGAGUUGAUGAAGCCGGACUUGCAUUGACAUGACUUUCUUGUUUCUUGUUUGACCUUUAAUGUUGACUUGCACGCUCAAAUUGCCAUUUGGGUUCUUUUCUUAAGAUAACCCAACAAUGUUCUAGUUGAAAUCGUUUGCCAACGCAAAAAGCAUAUAUUUGCCGAGCAUCAUUAAUCUGGUAAAAAAUAAAUAAAUAAAAUAAUGUUAAAAUAUGUGUUAAACAAUUUAACAUAGAAAUGAAUAUUAACAUUACCCUUGAUUCUUCGGUCAUUCCACUUUGCUGACGAUUUUCAAUUUGAGUAACAAAUUCAACAAAUUUAUCGACUUCUCUAUUUAUUUCUUGCCAUCUACUUGAGAUGCUUAUUUGGGAACGAUUAUUCAAGUUUCCUCCAUUCUCUACAAAGUAAGCAUGUACGUGAGCCCAGAACUGUUUUGUUUGUUGUUCAACUCCUGUAAUUGGAUCCUUGCUUGUAUUUAGCCAUGCAGAGACAAGUAAACAAUCCUUCUCUAGUGAGAAAUUUUUACUUCUUUGUGAUUUUUUUGCCGAAUGGACAUUUAAAUUCGAGUAUGUUAAGUCAUUAAUUAAUUAAUUAGAAUCACUUGGUUGAGAGAGAAUAUCUUCUGACUCACUCAUAAGAAAGUUGGUAUAAGAGCUUGGAAAAUUUGAAUCCAUCUACAUUAAAAAAAAAAAAACUCAAGUUAAAACCUUAUAAGAGAGUGUAAAAGAAGCUUACAUUCAAUGUCUAGCAAUUUUGUAGUUUUCAUACAUGUGAAUUAAUAAUAAGCAUUGCCUCCUACUUGUUCUAACAUAACAAUUUGACCAUUUUUUGGAACUAAAAUAGAAUUGAUAUACUGGUUUAAUUGCAUUUUCAACAAGACAAAAUAUAAUUGACCUCAAAUUAAAACAGAAAAUCAAAAAUAAAUUUUAAAUAUGUCACUCUAUCUUUUUAUCAAUAUCAACUACCAUUAUUAAUUCCUCUUAAUUUUAUCAAAGAUAACAACAUAAAUAAAAAUUGUCUUCUUUAACCCAUAUUAAAAACAUAAAAUAAUAAAGAAAUAAAAAUCAUCACAAAUAUUAAAUUAACAACAAAAGGUCUAAAAAAUCAAGAGAUAUAAAAGAGAAAAUAGAAAAAGCUUUUAAACAAGCAUACCUUUUAAUUUCAGCUAAUUAACACUACCGAUGUUAUUAAUUAACUGGAGAAUAAUUAAUUCUUGUUUUUCUAAAUUUGAGAGAAGGGUGGGGCACAAUACAAAAUUUUAGAACUACAACUUUUUUCCUCUUGCAUUUAAAGAAAAUUUCUCUUACAUUUACAGAAAAAAAAAAAAAGAGUUUUUGGCCAACAGCUAUAAAAAUAGUCGUUGGCCAAUAGUUAUUUAUUUUGGCCAUUUCUACAGUGAAAUGUAGUUAGUUGGCCAGCAAACAAAUAGCCAAAAUAGCUAUUUGUUUGGGUGCUAUGUUGGAAUGAAAGAAUUGAAAGAAUAAAAGCUAAAAUACAAUAUUUAGCAUUUGUCUUUUCAUUUGCCUCAUGCGUGCGUUGGAGAUGCUCUUACUUUAAAUUAUGUUGGUAGCCAUGGCAUGAUAUUUAGCUUCUUGGUACAUUCAAUUGUUUAAUUGUUUAUUUGAUUUCCAUGAAUUAAAAGAGUUUUAAAAAAGAUACAAAUAUCCUAUGAUGAAUCACCUUGUGGUAGGACAACUGCUCAUUAUGAUAAUAAGCUUCAAAUGUUGCUCACCAUCUCUGAGAGUGAGCUUCAAAUGUUGUUCCACAGGGAAUUUAUCAAGUCAUGCUCCCGGAAAUCCUACAUCCUGUAGAAUAUCAAGUGCAUAUUUGUUUUUGAGAUUUAGAGAUACAAUGUUUUAGCAUGAGACUUCAAUUCCCAGAAAAUAUUUCAAAUUACCAAAGAUAUGGGAUUGUUUAAGAAAGUAAUCCUUGAAAAGUUCCAUGUCUCUCACGAGCAUAUCAUCAAUGUGUACAUGUAAUGUAGUAAAAAAACAAAAAAAACUUGCCUUGAACUUUGGUUGAAAGAGAAUAAUCUCUUUUGGUUUGCUGAAAACUGACCUUUUGGAUAGCUUGACGAAUCGAGAAAACUAGUUACGUGAGGUUUGUUAUAAUCCAUAAAGAUUUAUUGAAACAUACCAAGUUUUUUCCUCAUCGUAGAGUCACGAAGGAGGAUCCAUGUACACCUUUUCAUCUAUGUCGUCAUGAAAAAAGGUAUUUUGGACAUACGAGAGGCAAUAGAGAGUAGUAAUCUGUGCUGCGGGGGAGAAGAUCUCUUGAUUGUCGGUGCCCUUAACAUGAGUAUUUCAUGUAUAUUAUUAUUUAAAUGGAAUUUUAAGCAUCAAGUGCCACCAAAAAGCACAGCAAGACAGCUAAGGUGGACUGAAAUUCAAAAACAUGCUUGCGCGAUUAAAAGGCUGUUGUUGUUUUAAGCACCACAACAUUCAUUUCAAACACAAAGGAAGCAAAUACGAAAAGCUAGCAACCUUGCACAAAUCAAGAAAUAUCCGUGGGAAAGCAGCUCGGUUCAAAAUGCCAUUGGCUUGGUUAAUGGAAGAAGGUAGAAUCAAACAUGAAACAUGCAUAAAAGAAAGCAAACAGAGCUAAAGAAAACCAGCUCCAUCUGAAGACAUAAGAUCUGAAAAUGAUAUAGCAAGCCUCAGGAAAAACUUUUAAAAAAUAGAAGCAGCAGCGCAAACCAAUCAAAUUUAGGAACAACAAAGCGAAAGCAACAACAUGCAAGGGCUGAACAGCCCAGCUAGGUUGAUACAAACAACAUAAGCCCUUAAACGCUCUCAAAAGUCAAAACUAUCACCUCUCUGUCCCCCCCCCCCUAUAUCUUUGACAAUUUUAGCUGAAAAGAAAUGAUGGCUUCAACAAUCCCAGCUUCGCUUUAUGUAAGUAUUGCGGUUUAAAAAUAAUAGAUUUUUAAAAAAUAUGUUUAUUUAAAACUGAUAAGAUGAAUUUUUACAUGCAACAUAAAUAAAAAUGCAAGUCUCCAUUAAUCCAGUGCAAGGAAACAAAAACUAUAUGGCAAUUGGCAAACCAAACAGUUUUUUCUAUGUGGUUAAACAAUAAGCAAAAGCUACCACAAAACAAAACAGACACUUACCAUAAUUUUAGGCCCCAUACCACAAUUUUAGGCUCUAUUUUUUUUUUUUUUUUGCACAAUAUACUAUGAUCUAUAUUUUUCCCUUAUCACAAAUUUAAAAAUAUUUGAUUAACCAGUACAUAUCACAAUUUUAUAUAAAUCCCACUAAAAACUCUUUCUUGAAACAUUGAUUCAAAAAAAACUAAAUUUUAUAACACCUAAAAUGUGUUUAGCAUUGUAAUAGUUUUUAUAGUUAUAGUCCAACAAAAGCAAGUUCAAGAAAUCAUUUUGAGAUGAUGUUUUUAAAAAAUAGAUUUAAAAAGUUAUAUUUGGUUAAAACUACUCUGUGACAUGCAAAAUAAAUAAAAAUCAAGUUAUUUUAAUUUUUACAAAACUAAAAUUUCAAACAAAGCUAUAUACAAGACCUUGGUUUUUUUUUUUUUUUUUUGGUUAUUCUCUAUGAUUAGAAAAAAGGCGGUAUCUAUCAAGCAAAACCUACACUAAUAUUAGUUUUACCCAUCCCUCUGAAAAAACAGUAGCAAACAGAACCACCAACUUGAAGCAGACAAUUUUUCAGUCACCACUCACCAAUACUGCUUAUGAAGUUGCCAAAUAAUGAGCAGCCGUAGAGAGAAACUGAAAUUAUUUUCUAAUCAAUUCUGUUUCUUAAAGAAAACACUUCAAAGUGAUGCUCUUCACAUAACCAAAUCCGAAAUAAGUGAUAUAACAAAGUUCAAAGAAGGGUUGGGGAGAGGAAAAAAAAUUUACUUUAAUAAGCAACUUCAACAGCUUCCUCCAGAAACAGCAUUAUGUUAUGCCCUUUUGGCAAAAUCACCAGCAUCAUCAUCUUCCUUGGAGGUUUUGUCCAACGCAUCAUCUAGGUUAAAACCAUCACCACUGCUCUCAUUGGCACCAAACUGAUUGCCGCCACCAUAACCCAAUCCAGCAUUUCCAUCAUACCCACCAUCAACACUGGUGUUGGUAUAGCCAUUGCUGCAGCCAGCGCCAGCAGCAACACCAUAAUUCCC